rnacentral:lncRNA from 1 species
CAAGAUAGGUAUUAAAAUAUAUUAAAAGCAAGAAAUCUAGGAGAAAUUUGAAUUUCUAUAAUUUUCUGUCACGUAGGUAAAAAACCGAGGAUCAAUUUUCAAUUAUUCGAUUUUACAAGCUUUAAAAAAUAUAUUCCAUGUCUUUUACUGUAAGUAGUAAAAUUAUUUUGUGAAGAAUAUAAUGUAUGAAACUGCACCAUAUGCAUGACUUCCACUAAUCUCUUGUUCAUUCAAUCUAUCUUUUCAGUUGGGCAGAAAACAGGACAGCACUUUCCUCAAACUCUUCACAUCAUAACCACAGCACAGACGAUAGCGAUUCAGGCUUUCAUGGCAACUACCCCCCACUCAAGAAAAUGGUAGCAAUGAAACAGGUGAAUGAGGUUGGUAACGACUAUGGAACGACAAUGCCAAAGUGGCAGAAUAAUCACUGCGAAAACCCGCAACCGCUGUAUGCCAACGCACCACCUAAGCCGCGACGGCUGAACAAUGAGGCAUCACCGGAGAGGUCACCGGAGGAAAAUGGUCGGAUAUCGAGGAUGGCUGCUCAACCUCAGGAAUACCCUCGCAUGCAUAACUAUAACCGGCCAAAUACGUUACCUAACGCCCACCUGUUCAACAACUCAGAGCGCCGAACGCCGGAUACUUACGGUCGCUCAUAUGCAACUGCGCCAAGUGCUCACAAGCCCUCUGGUGUGAAAAAAUUUGACUAUGAAGACGUUUAUCACAACAACCAAGAAAACUCAGUUUAUGUCUCGAAUAAAAACAUGAUUAACUCUCAGAUCGCUCAAUCCCAAAUGGCUGUGCACUACCGAAAACGACCCCACAAUGUGAUUUCACCCACCCAGAAAAGGUAUCCCCCACGUCCUCAUAGUGCUGAUUUCCUGGAGUACGAUGCCAGAAAGUAUGAGAUGCAGAAUGGUGUCCAAUCUCCUGCUGAGUUCCCAGGGACCUGCUAUGCGAAUCAGGGAGUGAUCUCAACCCAACCAAGACGGCCGAAGUCCAGUCUUGAUAUUAUCAACACUUCGGACUUCUUGGACUACCACCACUGGUCGGAAGAAAGCUAUGCUCAAAAGAUGCGGCAGUCUGCAUUAUAUGUGUCGCCUACAUUCCAAAACCACGUCAGUCCACUGAUCGCUGCGAGAACCACUACACCAUCGACCAAACUUCCAUUUAAUCAGGUAUUUUUGUUAGAUCCGUUCUUUUCUUAUUUUAUAGUCUUUGUAUUAAUUUAGGGGAUUGCAAUAGCUCAUGGAUGCUUAAAAAAAAAGGGGGAAAAGAUCAUAUUUUAUAUCAUGUGUUUACAUUACUGUGACAGCAAAUGAGUGCAAAUAAAAUUGGAUAACUCUUCUAGUGCUCCACCCUCUCCUCCCCCUUAUAAAACCAACAAACUGGUGAAACUCAUAUUUUGGUUUGCAAUGUUCCAAAAUUUCAGUCAUUCAGCAUAUUGAAACUAUAACCUAUCAAUGUAGUUUCCGGGAACAUGUAGUGUUUAUCCUUUCUGUUUAAAGAAUAUUCUAUCCAAGAAAGUUUUAAGGAAAACAAUUUUCUCAUGUUCAUGGUCUGCAUAGUCAUAAGAAGGGAAUUUAAACUAAUAAAUACUACGAUGAAGAUACCAACAGAACAGAAACCUAUAAAAACCCCUGAAAAAGGAACGUAACAAACUUAAGUUUUAAAAUGAGGAAAAAACAGCUUAGAAUGUGUAGAAUCAAUUAAUAAACUCAAACGUACAAAGGCUACAAAAUAAAAAUUGCUGACGUUGUUCGAGGCUCCUGUCUCUUUCUACAGAAUGGAUUCCAAUUGGUCUCACUAGCUGUUUUUAUUUUUUUACCUUGUGAAUUUGAGUUUAUGUUAUUUUGAUUCCACACAUUUUAUGUUGUUAUUAAUCCAUCGAUUAGUCAUACCGAUCAAUACCAUCUUAAACGCUAAUAUUGAUUUUUCCUCUUCUUUUUUCCCCGUUAGACUUCACCUUAUUUGGACUCGCCAACAGACUCAGCCAGUGUGCAGAUGCGGAAUCAUUCAAAUGUGAUUCUUGAGCAAGAACGACAAUGGAACGAAUAUAUCCAAUCUCAAAAUCGCAACUCAAGUCAUAGUCAAUUCAUACGUUCAGCCAGUGCAAGACUGCCUCGGCAUUCUGAUUUUGUUGAUGAUGCUCUGAACUUUGAGGACUGUUCAGAGAAAAAUUACAAUUUCGAAAGGAGGAACAGCACUGAUUCUCGCGAAGGAGAAAGGAAAACGCAACAGGUAGUCACAUAGCUCUAUGAAUUUUACCUCUUUAAGAGAUUUGUCUUCUUGUCUUUCGAAAUUGUAUUCCAAGACGUUGUGGUGUUCCAAAUGCUAAAUAGAUAAUAUUCUGUGUCAACAGUCCCAGACAAUCAUUGUAGAAAGAGCAAAGGUCAUGGUAUAGUUGUUCUAUUACUUUUUUAAACUUUCUGGAGACAAGGGAAAAUAUUUUUGGUACAUUUUAAAAAACCUUGAAUGACUUUUCAGAAAAAUAAGAAAUCAUGUUAGUCAAAACAAUUGAGUGCAAACUUGCGCUACAAUCUGCUGUGCUGAAGCCAAAAAAUAUAUCUCCAUCGCCUCUCUUUUGUACUGUCUUUGCACCACAUGCAGACAUGAUUUUCUUUCAAGUUUGCAAUGUCAUUGGAAAGUCCUUAGCCUUUCACAUCAAUGUCAUUGCUCCUGUUUCAGUAAGUAGUAAGUUCUAGUAGGAAGCAGUUAUGGAGCAGCAAAUAUCAGAUUCAUGUAGAAAACUGAAAUAGAUCAUGAUGGUAAACUAUUGAUUUUACAAACUUAAUGUAGUGAUUUCUCUAUCUCAGAUGUGAGAAUUAUCUACUGCAGUUGUGUAACGUCAUCAUGACUAAACUACAACAACGUAGGUAUAUUUUUGAGCUGUGUAACAACCUCUGCAUUGCUGCUAAAAUGCAUGCUGUAAUGUAUUUUUAUAUUGUUUUCAGAGAGAGGAAUCUAUGAAAAGACUUCUUGAAUGGAAGCAGCGAAUGCUUCAGUCACCACUUUCACGCAAAUCUUCAGGAUCCUCGAAGCGGGGAACAGCGCAAAAUGAGCUCUCCAAAGGAAUGAUGAACUAUGACUCCAAAAGCAUACCAAGGAAAGAAAUCAGUGAUAUGCUGAAGUCAAACUCAUUUUACGGCCAUGAUUACCCUGUCGAUUGCAUCAGCUCUAACCAAAAAAUUAUCUCAGAAACUAAGAAUGCUCAUUAUAAUUCAGGUAUUUCCUAGACUUUGAAUCCUUAAACGUCCCAGAGUUAGUUAUCAAUAGUCAUUUAGAAAUUUGUUUUACAGUAUUUUUUGCACCAACUCGUCAUUGAUUUAUGGCAGGAAGAAUUGAGGAGCUUUCCGGAAAAAGGGCACAUAGCAAAAAAUCGCGUUUGAGAAAAAUGCAUUUUAAGUCCCCAUCAUUACUUUCUGGCCACUGAUGGUGCCUGUCAUCGCAGCUUGGACUCUCGAUUUCGAACGUAAGUCACUGACAGUGGCCCUAGAGUAUGUAUCGAAACUUCAAAUGCAUUUCUCUCAAAAGCAAUUUUUUGCUAUGUGCCCUUUUUCCGGAAAGCUCCUCAAUUACGGUUUAUAUUUAUGAAGCAGUUUUUGAUUUACUUUAUUAUUGAAGCAAGUUUAAUCUUAGAUUAUAUGGUUUUUUCAUAUUACCGGUUUGGAUAUUAUUACCUGUAAGUUAUCUUUUCUCCCC